UAGGGAAUCUUCGGCACUGGACGAAAGUCUGACCGAGCAACGCCGCGUGAGUGAAGAAGGUUUUCGGAUCGUAAAACUCUGUUGUUAGAGAAGAACAAGGACGUUAGUAACUGAACGUCCCCUGACGGUAUCUAACCAGAAAGCCACGGCUAACUACGUGCCAGCAGCCGCGGUAAUACGUAGGUGGCAAGCGUUGUCCGGAUUUAUUGGGCGUAAAGCGAGCGCAGGCGGUUUCUUAAGUCUGAUGUGAAAGCCCCCGGCUCAACCGGGGAGGGUCAUUGGAAACUGGGAGACUUGAGUGCAGAAGAGGAGAGUGGAAUUCCAUGUGUAGCGGUGAAAUGCGUAGAUAUAUGGAGGAACACCAGUGGCGAAGGCGGCUCUCUGGUCUGUAACUGACGCUGAGGCUCGAAAGCGUGGGGAGCAAACAGG
rnacentral:rRNA from 1 species